AAGGACUCUUCCCUAUUAAAGGACUCUUCACUUCUGCUGAAGACACCACACAGUGUUUGCUUCCCUAUUAAAGGACUCUUCCCUAUUAAAGGACUCUUCUGCUGAAGACACCACCCAGUGUUUGUUCACUUCCCUAUUAAAGGACUCUUCUGCUGAAGACACUUCCCUAUUAAAGGACUCUUCUGCUGAAGACACCACCCAGUGUUUGUUCACUUCCCUAUUAAAGGACUCUUCUGCUGAAGACACUUCCCUAUUAAAGGACUCUUCUGCUGAAGACACCACCCAGUGUUUGUUUACUUCCCUAUUAAAGGACUCUUCCCUAUUAAAGGACACUUCUGCUGAAGACACCACAACGGCGGCUGGAGAAGGUGAAGAGGAUGGUGGCGCUUAACAGCGGCUGAAGAAGGCGAAUCCACAGGUCUACGAACAGCACCAGCUGGCACCACGUGGAGGAAGCCACUGAGGAUGAACACACUGAGGAGACCCCCAGAUGACCCCCUGAUGGCACCAUGUGAGCCUGAGGAGACCCCCAGAUGAACACACUGAGCCUGCGGAGACCCCCAGAUGGCACCAUGUGGAGGAGCACACAGGUCUGCUAGUUUCUUGAGAUGAGUGAAGAGGACAGAUCAGACGAUGUGUUUCUAGAAGGUUCUCCAUCACCGAGCGGUGAGCCCUUCCUCUCCCCUUAUGGACCGCUCACACCAAUCCCCUCCGCUGAACACUCUCUGGCUUCACGUUUCCAAAGUUCCUUCGCCUGAGAGCCGAUCAUGAGGAAAAUGUCUGAUCCACAGAAGGAACACACACCUCCUGAAAGUGGAAUCAGACACACACCUCCUGAAAGCUGAAUCAGACACACACCUCCUGAAAGCUGAAUCAGACACACACCUCCUGAAAGCUGAAUCAGACACACACCUCCUGAAAGCUGAAUCAGACACACACCUCCUGAAAGCUGAAUCAGACACACACCUCCUGAAAGCUGAAUCAGACACACACCUCCUGAGAGUGGAAUCAGACACACACCUCCUCAGAGAUGUAAGAGUCUCUCCGCCAGCUGUGGGUUCUUAGGUCUAAAAGGGAAUGUGCACUGAAUGUGAAAUGUUAGCAGCUCUGCCUACCAGAAAUAAACUAAUGUCCAGUGCUGGGAGGGUAACUUUUAGAAUGUAUUUGAACACACCAUGACAACACGCCAUGACAACACACCAUGACAACAGUCUAUGACAGAACAAUAACUCAGGUAGCAGGAAUAAGAUGUUCAGUCAAGGGUGCUGAGGCCUGGUAAGGGACUGAAGCACUGAGCACUGACUGUUUGAGAAAUGCUGCCUUCUGGCAAUAUUUGAAUUUGACAGCUAAUAGGCUACACGUGACGAUUUAAAAAGUAAUCCCUUCGAGGGAUCAACGUACCUGUAUUCUGAUUACCACCAGUUUUAAUUGUAACUGUAUCU
ensembl:lncRNA